rnacentral:misc_RNA from 1 species
AAGUCGUAACAAGGUUUCCGUAGGUGAACCUGCGGAAGGAUCAUUACUGAGUGGUCUGUCCCGAGAGUGGGACGGGUUACCCGACCUCAUGUCAUCUGGAGCUGGCGAACGCCGCGAGGCGGACGUCGCGGGCGUUGACGCGCACGCGGCGUCUGCGGUAGCGGGACCAGCUUGUACGUAACUUCGGCGGAAGAGGCAGGCGUCGAUCUUUCUUGAGAGAAGACGAUCUGCCCGCCGCCGGCCGUAUCCACCACUCUUGUGAGAAGAAUGAAGUCUGCUAGAAUGCAUAGCGAAAAGAAAAACGAAAAGCAAAACUUUCAACAACGGAUCUCUUGGCUCUG